rnacentral:rRNA from 1 species
AGUCGUAACAAGGUUUCCGUAGGUGAACCUGCGGAAGGAUCAUUACCGAGUUCAUGCCCUUCGGGGUAGACCUCCCACCCUUUGUAUACUAUACCUCUGUCGCCCUGGCGGGUGCCGCUGGCUCCGGCCGGCGCGUCCCCGCCAGGCGGCACAAACCCUGAAUAUUAGUGUCGUCUGAGCAAAAGUUUAAUAUUUAAAACUUUCAACAACGGAUCUCUUGGCUCUGGCAUCGAUGAAGAACGCAGCGAAAUGCGAUAAGUAAUGUGAAUUGCAGAAUUCAGUGAAUCAUCGAAUCUUUGAACGCACAUUGCGCCCCUUGGCAUUCCGAGGGGCAUGCCUAUUCGAGCGUCAUUAUCACCCCUCAAGCCUCGCUUGGUGUUGGGAGCUGCUGUCACCGGCACUCCCUAAAAUCAGUGGCAGUGCCGUCCGGCUCUAAGCGUAGUAAAAUCGCCGCUAUAGGGUCCGGAUGGAUGCUCGCCAGAACCCCCCCAAUCUUUAAUGAUUGACCUCGGAUUAGGUAGGGAUACCCGCUGAACUUAAGCAUAUCAAUAAGCGGAGGAAAAGAAACCAACAGGGAUUGCCUCAGUAACGGCGAGUGAAGCGGCAAAAGCUCAAAUUUGAAAUCUGGCUCUUUUAGGGUCCGAGUUGUAAUUUGUAGAAGAUGUUUCGGGUGUGGCUCCGGUUUAAGUUCUUUGGAAUAUUACAUCAUAGAGGGUGAGAAUCCCGUAUGUGACCGGCAGCCUCCGCCCAUGUGAAACUCUUUCGACGAGUCGAGUUGUUUGGGAAUGCAGCUCAAAAUGGGAGGUAUAUUUCUUCUAAAGCUAAAUAUUGGCCAGAGACCGAUAGCGCACAAGUAGAGUGAUCGAAAGAUGAAAAGCACUUUGGAAAGAGAGUUAAACAGUACGUGAAAUUGUUGAAAGGGAAGCGCUUGCAACCAGACUUGCACGCAGUUGAUCAUCCGGUGUUCUCACCGGGGCACUCUGCCGCGUUCAGGCCAGCAUCGGUUUCGGUGGUUGGAUAAAGGCCUUGGGAAUGUGGCUUCCUUCGGGGAGUGUUAUAGCCCUCGGUGCAAUGCAGCCUACUGGGACCGAGGACCGCGCUUCGGCUAGGAUGCUGGCGUAAUGGUUGUAAGCGACC